rnacentral:rRNA from 1 species
GAUGAACGCUGGCGGCGUGCCUAAUACAUGCAAGUCGAGCGAACGGACGAGAAGCUUGCUUCUCUGAUGUUAGCGGCGGACGGGUGAGUAACACGUGGAUAACCUACCUAUAAGACUGGGAUAACUUCGGGAAACCGGAGCUAAUACCGGAUAAUAUUUUGAACCGCAUGGUUCAAAAGUGAAAGACGGUCUUGCUGUCACUUAUAGAUGGAUCCGCGCUGCAUUAGCUAGUUGGUAAGGUAACGGCUUACCAAGGCAACGAUGCAUAGCCGACCUGAGAGGGUGAUCGGCCACACUGGAACUGAGACACGGUCCAGACUCCUACGGGAGGCAGCAGUAGGGAAUCUUCCGCAAUGGGCGAAAGCCUGACGGAGCAACGCCGCGUGAGUGAUGAAGGUCUUCGGAUCGUAAAGCUCUGUUAUUAGGGAAGAACAUAUGUGUAAGUAACUGUGCACAUCUUGACGGUACCUAAUCAGAAAGCCGCGGCUAACUACGUG